GGGUUGUGAGGUUAAGCGACUAAGCGUACACGGUGGAUGCCCUGGCAGUCAGAGGCGAUGAAGGGCGUGCUAAUCUGCGAUAAGCGCCGGUAAGGUGAUAUGAACCGUUAUAACCGGCGAUACCCGAAUGGGGAAACCCAGUGUGAUUCGUCACACUAUCAUUACGUGAAUACAU
rnacentral:rRNA from 1 species